UACCAGCACCCCGAGUGGUCGGGACGAUUAUUGGGCCUAAAGCAUCCGUAGCCGGUUUUACAAGUCCUCCGUUAAAUCCAACUGCUUAACAGAUGGGCCGCGGAGGAUACUACAAGACUAGGAGGCAGGAGAGGCAAGCGGUACUCAGUGGGUAGGGGUAAAAUCCGUUGAUCCAUUGAAGACCACCAGUGGCGAAGGCGGCUUGCCAGAAUGCGCUCGACGGUGAGGGAUGAAAGCUGGGGGAGCAAACCGG
rnacentral:rRNA from 1 species